AGAAACAUACCAAAAUCACAUUUGGAUACAGAAAUAUGUUCAGCAGAAAUUGGAAGUGGCCAAUCAUUUCCUACAGGAGAAAGAUAAAAUGUGCUUCCUGGAAUAUAAAGCCUUGAAUGAAGGGCAUCUAAAAAUCUAUAGGUCUGCUGCUCCCCACAUACAACAGAAGGCCUUCAUCGAUUUGCUCAAUUACUGUAGGAAUGGACAAGCUUAUUUUGCAUCACGGGCCAUUAGUGGUUUAUACAACACAUUAAGAGCAGCAUCCUUGAACACUGGUUUCCCAGAGUCCAGCAUUCCCUGAAGAUCUCUAGCCUUACUGCUUAUCUUUCAUCUGACUUGAUACCAUGAAGGCUGGCACUGCUGUUUCCUCCAGCUCAUGCCCCUUUGGUGAGUGGUACUCUCAAUUCUCACAGACACUCCCAAUUCACAUCAUGUUGUAGGUAUGACCUAACCCCACCCCAUGGCAACCAGAACCUCCCCCUUCCUGGACAUAGGGAGAGGUACAGUAGGGUAGAGUGGGGGAGACUGGGCCAAAUAGGGCCGAGUGACAGUCAGAGUGGACAAAAAUCACUGGGAAGCCGGAGUUGUCUGUCUCCUGUGGCUGACAGCUAGCUUGGUGGUCAACUGGAUACCAUAUGUAAAGAUGUUGGAAGUGAAGCUAUCAUAGAGAGAAAACAGAGUCUAGACAUGGUCGGAGAGCCUGAUAACAUCUCUCAAACAUCUGGAUUCAUCUGUACCUGGAUCUGGUGUAUCUUAAACUUGAAAGUUAGCUGCCUUUCAGAUCUGGAGGAUCUGCCUGAAAGAGCAUAAGGAACAAAAGCCAUCAACUUCCAGUGCUAGCCGCUCGGGGCUCUGCUGAGCACAUCUCCAGCCAUAGAGGAGCAUGGAGAUGAUAUUAGGACUGCAUUUCCAAGAGAGGAUACAGCCAGGCAGGAAAUCUAAGAAAGAUAUGGGGAGAAAAAAGGUGGAGUUGGGGAGAUGCUGCGAGCCAUCAGGGGAGCAAGAUGUAAUAAAACACAGGUAAAGCCAUGAGACUUGUGGUGAUACAUAGAUGAGUAGAAAUAAGUUAAUUUAAGAUGUUAUAGCUAACUAUCGAUAAGCCUGAGCCAUUGACAAAACAGUUUGUAAUUAAUAUUAAGCCUCUGAGUGAUUGUUUUAUAAAAAUGGCUACUGCCCAGGUGGGACUGGGUGGGACUGAGACACUUCAGUCUACAUUUGUAGUAGGUGAACUAGAGCCGUAGGAAAGACUUUCAGGGAGAGGUGGUACAGCAGCAAAGACUGCAAUGUACUGGGAAAAGAGGUCAUGUGAAUAUCUAAGGAAUAUGUCCAAGACAGAGGUGAAGGUACAGGCAAAAAAGGGGCACAUACCUGCAAGAGAAGAGCCAUGGUGUGCUGGGGAGUAGCCAGACCUAACAAGUGAGCAGGUCAAACAAAAUUUGGAGUGGGAAAAGAGAAGAAUUAGAAGACCAGAUGAAAAUGCCUCUUGGCUCCAGCAGGGCAAAGAAGGAGUGAUAAGAAGGCCCCUCAUUUGAGAUCCAUUUUGAAGCAAACCUGGUAAGGAUUGCUGGUGAACUGGCUGCCAGGGAAGAAGGUGUCUGAAUUGAUCAGAUCCUUUUCAUGCUAAAGAAUUCCAACCAGGAUUUUCAUGCAGGCACUGAACUCCAGAGUUGAGAAAAAUCCAUUCAAAAGGCACAGAGGAGUAUAGCCCCUUCCAUCAGUCAGCCAUUUCCUUCAUCUAAGGUCCUACAAAGGGGCUGAGGAGAGUGGGCAUGAUGGAUUCUAGAAACAAGGAAUUCACAGGGAAAAGGUGAUGAUAAAGACAAGCAGCACUGGGAGAGAAUGUGCUGGAAGUAGCUAAGGCAUGGAGGAGGAUGCUUCUGGAAGUAGCUAAGGCA